UGGUGCAUGGUUGUCGUCAGCUCGUGUCGUGAGAUGUUGGGUUAAGUCCCGCAACGAGCGCAACCCUUAUUGUUAGUUGCUACGCAAGAGCACUCUAGCGAGACUGCCGUUGACAAAACGGAGGAAGGUGGGGACGACGUCAAAUCAUCAUGCCCCUUAUGUCCUGGGCCACACACGUACUACAAUGGUGGUCAACAGAGGGAAGCAAUACCGCGAGGUGGAGCAAAUCCCUAAAAGCCAUCCCAGUUCGGAUCGCAGGCUGCAACCCGCCUGCGUGAAGUUGGAAUCGCUAGUAAUCGCGGAUCAGCAUGCCGCGGUGAAUACGUUCCCGGGCCUUGUACACACCGCCCGUCACACCAUGAGAGUCGGGAACACCCGAAGUCCGUAGCCUAACCGCAAGGGGGGCGCGGCCGAAGGUGGGUUCGAUAAUUGAGGUGAAGUCGUAACAAGGUAGCCGUAUCGGAAGGUGCGGCUGGAUCACCUC
rnacentral:rRNA from 1 species